AGCAGCCGCGGUAAUACGAAGGGACCUAGCGUAGUUCGGAAUUACUGGGCUUAAAGAGUUCGUAGGUGGUUGAAAAAGUUGGUGGUGAAAUCCCAGAGCUUAACUCUGGAACUGCCAUCAAAACUUUUCAGCUAGAGUAUGAUAGAGGAAAGCAGAAUUUCUAGUGUAGAGGUGAAAUUCGUAGAUAUUAGAAAGAAUACCAAUUGCGAAGGCAGCUUUCUGGAUCAUUACUGACACUGAGGAACGAAAGCAUGGGUAGCGAAGAGGAUUAGAUACCCUCGUAGUCCAUGCCGUAAACGAUGUGUGUUAGACGUUGGAAAUUUAUUUUCAGUGUCGCAGCGAAAGCGAUAAACACACCGCCUGGGGAGUACGACCGCAAGGUUAAAACUCAAAUGAAUUGACGGGGACCCGCACAAGUAGUGGAGCAUGUGGUUUAAUUCGAAGAUACGCGCAGAACCUUACCAACACUUGACAUGUUCGUCGCGACUCUAAGAGAUUAGAGUUUUCGGUUCGGCCGGACGAAACACAGGUGCUGCAUGGCUGUCGUCAGCUCGUGUCGUGAGAUGUUGGGUUAAGUCCCGCAACGAGCGCAACCCUCACUUUUAGUUGCCAUCAUUAAGUUGGGCACUCUGAAAGAACUGCCAGUGAUAAGCUGGAGGAAGGUGGGGAUGACGUCAAGUCCUCAUGGCCCUUACGUGUUGGGCUACACACGUGCUACAAUGGUAUCUACAACAGGAAGCAAGACUGCGAGGUCAAGCAAAUCCUUAAAAGAUACCUCAGUUCGGAUUGCACUCUGCAACUCGAGUGCAUGAAGCUGGAAUUACUAGUAAUCGUGGAUCAGCGUGCCACGGUGAAUGCGUUCCCGGGUCUUGUACACACCGCCCGUCACACCAUGGGAGUUGGUUCUACCUUAAGGCAAGGUUUCAAACCCUUGACCACGGUAUAGUCAGCGACUGGGGUGAAGUCGUAACAAGGUAACCG
rnacentral:rRNA from 1 species